UUUAUAACUUUAUCUUUUUACUCUGUCAUUGUUGUUCGUCUUUUUCAUUGAAUCUGCAGCGAUGAUUUUCAACUUUUCUCUCAACUCUCUAUUUUCUUCCCUUUCCAGAUCUCAAUUAUUUCAAUUUUUUUAUGAAGCAAUAACAAGUUGAAGGCGAGAAAUGAAGAAGAAAAGGAAAUGGCACUGAGAUGAAGAUGACAUUGAAGGCAACGAGGACCUAAACUUGUAGAUUCUUGAGAAAGCACCUCUAAUGAUGAUUUGUGUGAUGAUUUGCACGAUUUGAUUAACUUAAGUGUUGGAUUUUUGUUGCUCUUCCUGCUUCGCGGUGCUCCAAAGAUUGAGAGAUCGGCGAUGAGAGCUCGGCGGAGCUUGCUGUUGCUUUUCCCAUCGGAGUAUCUUUUGAGCUUAUUCUCUCCUGUCAUUUCAGGGAGAUUCAUGGAAGCCACUAGUUUGCUAUAGCUUCAUGCUAUGUCAGCUACUCAAUCAGUUCAGAACCAUGGGCAUAUUAGUAAGUAAAGAAGCCAUCUUUUACCAGUACUGGUUUUUGCCGGCUGUAGUGAGUGUGAUGAUGAUGCAUGUGGUUCUUGUUGAGUUCGAUAAAAGUCUAGCCGGUUGUGAGACGUUGAAUUGGGUGCAGUGGGCUAUAAGUUUCAUCACUGCUGCAUUUUCAUGGGGUUUGGAAAUAGUUUUGAAAUCAACUUCAGUCUUCAUUUCUGAUCUUGGACAAUAAUAAAUGAAUGGACACAAUCUUUCAUAUAUUAUUGCCUAUGACAAACCAAUUAAAAGAGAGAUGCCAAAUUUCAAAUAUGUAAUGUCAGCAGACCAAACAAAAAUAUAAUUAUGGUUAAUUGUUUUUCUUUCAUUGUAUUAGUAUUGAUUUUGAUAUUGUUGUUUGUCGUGUCGAGGUUCUUUUUAGAUGCUAUUUUCUUAUAAAUAUAUAUUGGCUAUGACUUCAUCUGCAUCUAUAGCUUGGACUUCACCUUUGGUUUUUAAUGUAUUUCAACAAUUAAUAUAUUUGAUAAUUUAAUUUUAGAA